GCCAGUUGCUGUUUCACCAUCACACACUGAGGGGCUUGCACCCGACUGAAACAGACCUAUGCAGCCCUGUCUCCCAAGAAGAACUCUCAGUCCCGCUCCUGGGACAGCUUCUGGGUCGUCUCAUCCUUUUCCGAUUUGCCAAGGAUGAGACAAGCUCUCCAGCUUGGAGUGCUCUUUGGUGCCUCUAUAAUUACCUGCAGCAUCAAGAAAGCAGGCCAAAGCCAAAGGGGGAAGGAGAAGAGCUCAAAUGG